UGGCUCUCUUCCUCUUUUUCCUGUCAUGUGAAACAUGCCUGUUUCCCCUUUGCUUUCUGCCAUGAUUAUAAGUUUCCUGAGGCCUUCCCAGCCAUGCUUCCCGUACAGCCUUCGGAACUGUUUGACCACAUGAUUUGCUUUGGCAGAUGGAACGUUAGCAGCUGGGGACCUUUCUGCCACCACAAAAGCCUAGAUUAUCCUGAUGGACGAUGGAAGACACAUGGCUGUUGUUCCAGCUGACAUCAAGCCAACCACUGGACAAGAUAGGAAAGCUCUCCUAGAACACGAAGGCCCGAAUGAACUGGCCCAGAGCAGAGAAACUGCUCAGCCAAACUGCCAAGCUGUGAUUAACAAAGGCUUCAUCUUAAUCCACCAGAUUUUGGGGUGGUUUGUUACACAGCGAAUGCUAACUGAUACAGUCAUUAUCAUUAGGUCUUUCUUGAGCUGAUCAUACUUCCCAGCAUAGAAUACGCCAAUGUCCUGCUCCUUAUUCCUGGCUGCCAGCAUUGUAAGAGCUGAGUGGAAGGCUGGGGUUUUCAGCACUCAAUAUGCACUAGACAAUCCAAAAGAUCUACAAAAACUUUACAUCUACAAGCCAAGGCACUGAAUCUCAGCCCCAGAAAGAGACUGUGACCUUCCUUCCUCAUCAGGAUCCCAAGAAGCCGUAGAACAAGAGGCUAAGAGGUUCGAAGGACACUGGAAAGGCUUCAUGCUGCUGUAGGUUGUGGAUGGACAAGCUUUGUGUCUGGAGCUGCUGUAGUGGGCCACUCAGUUAGUUCACCCAGGCUCCCACAUUCUCCAUGCUCUGUUUCAGGAAACAACCAGAACUGUGGACAGUCUUACCAAAGACACUAACAUCAUCACCAGAGAAUUAAAGAAAUCCAGUGAGUGGCCCACAACAAUUGGCUGGCAUAGGACAUGAUCCUAGCUUCCCACAGGGCACUUGGGAUUGUGCAGUCAGAAGUGAUUGAUGUGCAUAUGUUUCCACAGACCUCUCUGAUGUCUAUGCCGUCACCAAAAAUAUUCAGACUGCAAACCAGGAAAUGCAUUGAAUUGCCACCAUUGUCCUUAUACUUCCGUUUAAGGACACUCCAGGCCCAACGUCUCAAGGCCUUUUAGGCUAGCUUCCUUCAAACCUCAAAUCUUGGUUGCUGUCUAAUUUAACCUUUAACCCUUUUACCAUUUGCCCUGAGAACACUUGCCGGCAGCACUUCCAGCUGCAGCGUUUACCCAAAGAUACCUCUGCCAGGAAAGACCUUGCUUUUAUUAUUACUUUUGCAUUUCUCUAGCAUAUUGACAUUGGAAACAAAAGACAUCAUUCUAUAUAUAGCAUUCUGGUUUUAGUGGUGGUAGUUCCAUUUACAAAAUAUAGUAAUUCUUGAUCACUGAAAAUGUCAGAGCCUAGAAAACGGAGCAUUCCUAUGCGUGAUGUUAACAUCAUUAAACAGUUGUUGGCCAAAGACUCAUGUGAUGAAUCCAAUUUUUCUAAAAUAAAUAGCUCAGAUGAUUCAGAUGAUUCUGAUAUUAGGUCUGUUUAGAAAUAAAACUUCAAAAACAGUUUUUAUAUUUUACUUCCACAUUGAAAAUCAGUCAGAUUUGCUUUGGCCUCAAAGAAUGUGUUCAUGUAAAAUUAAAUGAGCACUAGCAGCCA
ensembl:lncRNA LINC02525 long intergenic non-protein coding RNA 2525